GUGGGGAAUCUUGCGCAAUGGGCGAAAGCCUGACGCAGCCAUGCCGCGUGAAUGAUGAAGGUCUUAGGAUUGUAAAAUUCUUUCACCGGGGACGAUAAUGACGGUACCCGGAGAAGAAGCCCCGGCUAACUUCGUGCCAGCAGCCGCGGUAAUACGAAGGGGGCUAGCGUUGCGCGGAAUUACUGGGCGUAAAGGGCGCGUAGGCGGACAGUUUAGUCAGAGGUGAAAGCCCAGGGCUCAACCUUGGAAUUGCCUUUGAUACUGGCUGUCUUGAGUACGGGAGAGGUGAGUGGAACUCCGAGUGUAGAGGUGAAAUUCGUAGAUAUUCGGAAGAACACCAGUGGCGAAGGCGACUCACUGGCCCGUUACUGACGCUGAGGCGCGAAAGCGUGGGGAUCGAACAGGAUUAGAUACCCGAGUAGUCC
rnacentral:rRNA from 1 species